GACGAACGCGGCGGCGUGCCUAAUACAUGCAAGUAGAACGCUGAAGGGAGAGCUUGCUCUUCUGGAUGAGUUGCGAACGGGUGAGCAACGCGUAGGUAACCUGCCUGGUAGCGGGGGAUAACUAUUGGAAACGAUAGCUAAUACCGCAUAACAUUGACUAUUGCAUGAUAGUCAAUUGAAAGGUGCAACUGCACCACUACCAGAUGGACCUGCGUUGUAUUAGCUAGUUGGUGGGGUAACGGCUCACCAAGGCGACGAUACAUAGCCGACCUGAGAGGGUGAUCGGCUACACUGGGACUGAGACACGGCCCAGACUCCUACGGGAGGCAGCAGUAGGGAAUCUUCGGCAAUGGACGGAAGUCUGACCGAGCAACGCCGCGUGAGUGAAGAAGGUUUUCGGAUCGUAAAGCUCUGUUGUAAGAGAAGAACGAGUGUGAGAGUGGAAAGUUCACACUGUGACGUAUCUACCA
rnacentral:rRNA from 1 species